rnacentral:rRNA from 1 species
GACAGAGGUCCCGAGCGUUAGGCGGAAUCACUGGGCUUAAAGCGUGUGUAGGCGGCGGCCUAAGUACCUUGUGAAAUCCACGGCUCACCGUGGAACUGCUCGGUAUACUGGUCGCUUGAGCCACUUAGGGCUACCGGAACAAAUGGUGGAGCGGUGAAAUGCGUAGAUAUCAUUUGGAACGCCAAUGGUGAAAACAGGUAGCUGGGAGUGUGCUGACGCUGAGACACGAAAGCCAGGGAGGCAAACGGG